GUCAGAACUCGGGUUAGUUAGUACGUUAUUGGUCUCGUCGUAGCAGGAACUCAGGAAAUCCAACUAGUACUGUGAAUGGUUAUGUUUAUAGCUGGAUCUUCACUAUUGAAUUUUGUUAUCUAAUGUGGGGUUUAUUCCACCGAUCUCUAACAUGAACACUAAACUCGGUAAUAUGAAGGUAAAAGCGAAUGGUCUUGCCCAUGGAGAAAGAGGCCAGGUAAUUUAGGUUCAAGAGGUUCCCAGGCAGGACUAAGUGGUGAAACCAAAAUCGGCCAUACAAUGUUCCUGUGCAUUGUACUGCGUUGUUUUUGACUUGAGACAAGCAUCGUACUACUUCGUUUGCAUCAGUAAAGGAAUGGAUAUGAAGAUUGUUCUUAGCUUUUAAUCAAAAUGUUGUACUUUGUAAAUGAAUUUAAAUUGACUUCAAUGUUUCAUGAUCCUAGGUCGUUAACUUAUUUUCCAGUUGUUGGUUUUCAAAGUUUGUAUUGACCUGAUUUCCCUUGAUUGUCAUACUGUGGUCUUGUUUCCUCGUUGGAGAUGUUUUCCAUAUCUCCUUUCAAAGGUUCCUGUUUGGCUUUCAUAUCUUGAGGAUUAAUUCGUUACAUUCUUAUUGUUAUUAAAGUAUUAUAACUUAACAGUAAUAUUUGAAUAAGUAUAUUUCCUGGCCCAUUACUGGAGCUGAUGAUACUAUAGCAAAGCACUAUAGUUUAGUGUGAUGGCAACUAUUAUAGCCAAUGACAUAUGAAUAGUAAUGAUUCUGCAUGGAGGUAUAUAAAAAUGCAGUAGACUGCCCGUCUCGGGGUUCGGAACUGAGAAAAUUAUCUAUAUAUAAUUGCUUAUAUAUAAAGGUGUGCGUAAUUUGGCAAGUUUUUAAUCAGUUUGGAUAUUUAAGUUUUGACAUUUAAAUUCCUACUGAUUUUAGUAAUGAAUGUUAAUCAUACGACGUUUUAAAUUAGUGUAACAUCCAGAUCGGUUGAGAACUCGCCUGCUUAUGAAGUGCUAUUAAGUAGUUUGGUACAUCUAGGUAAUAACUUCUGUAGCAGUUGAUUUGCUUAUUAAGAAUUUACCGUUUGUUUAGGGGGUAGACUGUAAUAAACCUGCGGUGG